GUGACGUCACCUUGUUAGCUUGAUUCCUUCUCUGUCAUCGGACACCACCGAUAACGUUCAUUAUUAUAAAUAUGUCUUACCCGGACUCUCCGGUGAAGUUCACCAUCGUCAAUGACCCUGAGGUGAUGGCACUCCGCCAGGAGUGGCAGGUCAUGUCUUACUCUUGCUUGGAUGAGGCAGUGCCACGACAGCAUCUCUACAAAAGUUCCCUUAAAAUAGGGGAGAAAUUCCUCAGAGUUACUGGCAGCUUUGCCCGUAAGUUGAAGGCUUCUUCAGCAAAGGUGGAGUGGCAGAGGAAGCAACACCUCUCUGACAAGGCAACAAUUGAGAAGCUACAAAGACAGUUGGCUCAACUCCAACAGAGUUUGAAGCCUCCUGCAUCUGAUAAGUUCAGUUAGUAGCUCUUUUACACAAUUCAUUAUCUCUGGAGUGGUGGUUUGCCAAUUCACACAGAAAGCCGGUGCUUCAGCUCCUAAAGAGACGUGAUGGUACACAUCUUGUUGAUGUUGGUGUUUCGCAGGUGUCCCCCUGUCAUUCUAAACCUGAGGACAGUUUGCAGUCAUAUGGAUGCUGUUAUAAUGUGUUGUGAUUGAGAUCCUGAUUGACCAAACAUUGUGGAAAGUGAUGAAGUUACUUUUUUCAAGCUAAAUUACAUAAUACAUAAUCACCAUUAGUAAAGUGGACAUUGUCGGAUUCCCUCAUUUGUGGGGAUAGAGGCUGUUUUCUGGGUGAAACUUCCCUGAAGUCUCUGUCGGGAUGGCUGACAGUUGUGUUGAUUUAUUUUCAUCAUAAACACUCGGGGACUUAAAGUUUUGUGCCGAUGACAGACAGAAAUGUGAUGAAGUGUUUGGAGGACAGGCAUGAGGAUGGACGCUUCCCCAUGUACAGCUGUGGUAUUUUUUUCCUCAUAUAAGUUGCCAAAGACAGUUACAGUUACUGUGUUACUUUUGUUUGGUCUUCUAACAUUGCUUUGUGGGACAUCUCUCUUUAUUUAGUUGAGUGCAGUUAUCAGACUAGUCAGACCGACAUGCCCCUGCUCUGCGCUUCUGACUUAUCCAUUCAUAGUGGUUCGGUUCACUAAUAAUGCGGCCCUGAUACUACCUGCAGAGGCGGAUCAGAGCCGGAGCGAAAUUUCACCCCCGUCGCAUCUGACACUUUCACACGAAGGACGGUGCGAAGAAUUGGUGCAGGAUCUCGGCAUGCAAACAACAGUGUGAAUGAGGCCACUGUUUGAGUCAGCAGUAUAUGCAAAGUGUGGGGAAAACUCAAACAUUUCUUGAGUUGAGUGACUUGAGACUUUUAUUUAUCUCACAUCAGGCAAAUUCACUUGUCACAGUAGCAGGUAGAUACACAUACAGAUUUAUACAUUUAAGUAACGUGUCAGAGUAUUGUUUUGUUGAGAUUAGAUGCAUAAUAGUGUUUAAAUACAGUAUUUUAAAAUAAACAGACUCUGUAUGAAUAUGAAGAUGUACAAAAAAGAGAAUAGUAUUAUUGCACAGAAUAAUUGCACAAGAUAGCGGAGAUAGAAGUUUAAGUAGUGCAGAUAAGUAGGUGCUCAUGGUGUUACUUUAAGGGUUAUAUGUGUUGAACAGUCUGAUAGUGGUUGGAAUGAAUGACCUGCUGUAGUGUUCCUUCUUACACCGUGGGUUUAGCAGUCAGUUGCUGAAGGAGUUGCUUAAGGCCUCCACAGUUGCAUUUAGAGGUGAGAGGGGUUGUCCAGAAUUGAUGGCAGCUUGGCUAUCAUCCUCCUGUCAUCCACCUCCUCAAUGGAAUCCAGAGGACAUUCCCAGAAUCAGCCAGGCCUUUUGACCAGCUUAUUGAGUCUUUUGCUUUCCCUUUCUGAACUGUGGAUGCUCAGAGAGUCACAGGAAGAGACAUUUAAGCUGUGCCUUUAUGUGUGAGUGUAAUUGAAUUGUAAUAAUGUAUUUGCCUGUGAUGUUUAUGUCAUUUGUUGUAGGAGUGGCAGAGGUGUUGGAGGAGGGUAAAUUCUAAAUAUGGUAGUUUAGACUUGAGACUUUUAUUUAUCUCACAUCAGGCAAAUUCACUUGUCACAGUAGCAGGUAGAUACAUAUACAGAUAUAUACAUUUAAGUAAAGUGUCGGAGUAUUGUUUUGUUGAGAUUAGAUGCAUAAUAGUGUUUAAAUACAGUAUUUUAAAAUAAACAGACUCAGUGUAUGAAUAUGAAGAUGUACAAAAAAGAGAAUAGUAUUAUUGCACAGAAUAAUUGCACAAGAUAGCGGAGGUAGAAGUUUAAGUAGUGCAGAUGAGUAGAUGCUUGUGGUGUUAUGUUUAGGGUUAUAUGUGUUGAACAGUCUGAUAGUUGUUGGAAUUCAUUACCUGCGGUAGUGUUCCUUCUUACACCGUGGCUUUAGCAGUCUGUUGCUGAAGGAGGUGCUUAAGGCCCUUACAGUUACAUUUAGGGGUGAGAGGGGUUGUCCAUAAUUGAUGUUAGCUUGGCUAACAUCCUCCUCUCACCCACCUCCUAAAUCGAGUCCAGAGGACAAUCAAAGACUGAGCCAGGCCUUUUCACCAGCUUAUUGAGUCUCAUCCUGUCUAUAUUUGAGCUUCCAUUGCUCAGAGAGGGACAGGAAGAGAGUCAAAAGACUCUGAUGAGACUUUCUGUUACAUUAAAGUUGUGCCUUUAUAUGUCAGUGUCACUGAAGUAAUAAUUUAUUUGCCUGUAUUGUUUAUGUCAUUUGCUGUAGGAGAAUAUGUGGUGGGAGGAGUCUAAGGAGUUUCUGUUUGUGUUUCAAU